rnacentral:rRNA from 12 species
UUGAAGAGUUUGAUCAUGGCUCAGAUUGAACGCUGGCGGCAGGCCUAACACAUGCAAGUCGAACGGAAACAUGUCUAGCUUGCUAGAUGAUGUCGAGUGGCGGACGGGUGAGUAAUGCCUGGGAAUUUGCCUUUGUGUGGGGGAUAACUAUUGGAAACGAUAGCUAAUACCGCAUAAUACCUACGGGUCAAAGGGGGCUUCGGCUCCCGCGCAAAGAGAAGCCCAGGUGAGAUUAGCUUGUUGGUGAGGUAAAGGCUCACCAAGGCGACGAUCUCUAGCUGUUCUGAGAGGAAGAUCAGCCACACUGGAACUGAGACACGGUCC